AGCAGCCCAGCCGGCUGCCUCCUGCUGCAGAUUGGAUGGUACAGAGAGGGGAAAAUGUUCUGUUUUUAAAACAAACUGUGACGGGCAAUGAAAAGUGGGUACUGUACAAUAAUGUGGAACAGGAGAGAUCGUGGGGCAAGUGAAAUGAACCACCACCAACCACACCAGAGGCCAGUCUUCAUCCAAAGAAGACCAACUGAAAGCAGCACUGAAAGAAAAUCGUCUGGAAUUAAUCAACAGAAAACACAUAAUCUUCCAUCCGGGUAAUUCAAGACUGCAUGUUUCUUUGAUGACCAGGCAAAAACUGUUACAGCUUGGCUUGGGAGUUCCGAUUCACCCGCCAUAUUCACCAGACACUGCACCUUAGGAUUUCCAUUUAUUUCAGUCUUUACCAAAUUAUCUUAAUGGAAAAAAUUUCAAUUCCCUGGAAGACUGUAAAAGGCACCUGGAAGAGUUCUUUGCUCAAAAAAGGUAAAAAGUUUUGGGAAGACGGA